rnacentral:rRNA from 1 species
GAUGAACGCUGGCGGCGUGCCUAAUACAUGCAAGUCGAGCGAACAGAUAAGGAGCUUGCUCCUUUGACGUUAGCGGCGGACGGGUGAGUAACACGUGGGUAACCUACCUAUAAGACUGGAAUAACUCCGGGAAACCGGUGCUAAUGCCGGAUAACAUUUAGAACCGCAUGGUUCUAAAGUGAAAGAUGGUUUUGCUAUCACUUAUAGAUGGACCCGCGCCGUAUUAGCUAGUUGGUAAGGUAACGGCUUACCAAGGCAACGAUACGUAGCCGACCUGAGAGGGUGAUCGGCCACACUGGAACUGAGACACGGUCCAGACUCCUACGGGAGGCAGCAGUAGGGAAUCUUCCGCAAUGGGCGAAAGCCUGACGGAGCAACGCCGCGUGAGUGAUGAAGGCCUUCGGAUCGUAAAACUCUGUUAUUAGGGAAGAACAAAUGUGUAAGUAACUGUGCACGUCUUGACGGUACCUAAUCAGAAAGCCACGGCUAACUACGUG